rnacentral:rRNA from 1 species
AUGGCGUCGUCCUCCUCCUCUCUAUCGUCGGCGCUGAGCUCGAUGGAGCAGAUGCUGGACGCGCUCAGGCAGAGAGGGAUCGGCAAGCCCGACGACAAGCCCAAGGAGGAGCCGCCGGCGCUGCCCACGCGCCCCACCGUCAGGGGCCGGCCUCCUUCCAUCCACAGGCCCGCCUCCAGCGCGCCGUGGAGUCAACAACGCCCACCGCUGGCCCUGCUCCCCCCACCGCCGGAAGAAGAAGAAGCGAAGGAGGCGGAGAGGCGUGCGGUGGAGCUGGAGCUGGAGAGAAGGGCUGUGCGGGCGGAGGAAGAGGCGAAGCAGAAGGACGACGACGUGAGGCUCAAGGAGGAGGAGAUCGCCGGGCUGAGGCAGCAGGUGGAGCUCUACGAGGCCCGGCUCGCCGAGUGGGAGGCCAAGAUGAAGGCCGUGGAGGAGGAGCUGCAGAGACAGACCGCCGCGCUGCAGAUGUCUCAGGCUGCUGCUGCUGCUGCGGCGGCCAGAGCAGCAAUCGGUUCCACGAGCCACCGCCGGGAGCCAACCUUAUCCGACGGCGUCGCGCAGGCCGAGCAACCUCCGGCGCCCACGAGGGCGGAGGAAGCGUCCGUGAAGCGGGGCGAGAGCCUGUUUCGAGGAGCGUCCGUGAAGCCCCAGCAGCAGCAGCAGCGCGCCGGCGAGCCCGCCGUCGCCGCCGUCCUUAGCUCGAAGCCGAGCCACGCGGGCGUGCCCGCCGUCGCCGCCGUCCUUAGCUCGAAGCCGAGCUACGCGGGCGUGCCCGCCGUCGCCGCCGUCCUUAGCUCGAAGCCGAGCCACGCGGGCGAGCUCGCCGUCCUUAGCUCGAAGCCGAGCCACGCGGAGCACCACCUCGCGACCGAGUACGCGCGGGAGACCCAGGCGUUCGAGCACGCCGCGAGGGCGGUGGCCGAGGUGAAACCGGGCACCAUGUCCGUCGACGAGCUCAAGAUGCUGAGGCGGCAGUUCGCCGCCUGGAAGAAGGAGUACGAGGCGCGGCUGCGCAAGACAAACGCGGAGCUCAAGAAGCGCGUCCACUCGGAGAAGAGCCACGACCAGCAGCCUGCCCACGGCGGCCGGCGCCGGUGGUGCGGCUGGUGGAGGACGAUCAAGGCGCCGAAAUUCAGAGCCCCCAAGAGGUGCUGCACUUGCGCUUGCGCCAUGAAGUUGCCUAGCCUUCCCUCGUGCAAGUUCCCUAGCCUCCCCUCGUGCAAGUUCCCUAGCCUUCCCUCCUGUUCCUUCUCUUGCUGCUGCUUUCGCCGCCGCCGAUAG